UACGUAGGGUGCGAUCGUUGUCCGGAAUUAUUGGGCGUAAAGAGCGUGUAGGCGGCUUGAUAAGUCUGCUGUGAAAGUCCAGGGCUCAACCCUGGAAGGCCGGUGGAAACUGUCGGGCUAGAGUCCGGAAGAGGCGAGUGGAAUUCCCGGUGUAGCGGUGAAAUGCGCAGAUAUCGGGAGGAACACCAAUGGCGAAGGCAGCUCGCUGGGACGGUACUGACGCUGAGACGCGAAAGCGUGGGGAGCAAACAGG
rnacentral:rRNA from 1 species